GGCCUUUUGAUUAUAAUUUAAGGUCUGACCUGCCCACUGAAUUUUAAAGGGCCGCGGUAAUUUGACCGUGCUAAGGUAGCAUAAUCAUUAGUUUUUUAAUUGAAAGCUAGAAUGAAUGGUUGGAUGAAAAAAUGGCUGUCUUUAUUUAAUUUAUGUUGAAUUUUAUUUUUAAGUUAAAAAGCUUAAUUAAGUUUUAAAGACGAGAAGACCCUAUAGAGUUUAAUAAAUUAAUUUAUUAAUAUUUUUAGGAAUAUUAUUUUAAUAGGUGAGUUUUAUUUGGUUGGGGUGAUUGUAAAAUUUGAUAAACUUUUAUUUUUUUAUAACAUAAAUUUAUGAUUUUUUGAUCCAAUAAUAUUGAUUAUAAGAUUAAAUUACCUUAGGGAUAACAGCGUAAUUUUUUUUAAGAGUUCUAAUCGAAAAAAAAGUUUGCGACCUCGAUGUUGGAUUAAAAUUAAUUUUUGGUGUAGAGGCUAAGAAUAUUGGGUCUGUUCGACCUUUAAAAUUU
rnacentral:rRNA from 1 species